GGAUAGCGUUUUCUAAAUACUGCGUCUGGCCGCCUUCCCAGAUAUACUGAAUCAGAAUCUCCAGUGAUGGGGCCCUAGUGAAAACCCGGGCUCCAAUCAGGAACUGAGGAAAGGAAAGAAAGGGGAAGGGGGUCAGAGGACUUGCAGGCGCUCAAACGCUACGCCUGGAGUUUAAAAGGGAAACUUCACCUCAAGGAACACGUGAAACCCCCAGACCACCAAGAGCUUCCGGCGUCAGUGCUUCCCCGGUGCAGGUGAUGAUGAAUCGCUUUCAAAAAUACAUACUUUUGAAUUGAAAUGUCUCACACUUGAAGAAAGCCUAAAGGCAACUGAGUUUUAUUAAGUAUAUAAUUGUGUGUUGUGAGAGAAAUGCACGUGGCAUAUAGACCUGCUGGCUAUGUAUGGCAAUGUCACAUAUGUCUCAAGUUGGGGCCCAACCCUGAAACCUCAGAAAAAGAUCAACAAUAGAUGCCACAGUAAGCUGAUACCAGCUCUUCAAAGUGUGUUGGAACCUGAGGGGAACUGAAGGGAAAGCCAAGAGGACAGACAGGACUGGGCCGGCAGAGGUGGAAACACUGGGGAGGCCAGGCUUCCGAGAGGUCAUGCUCAGGCAUCACCCUGUGACUGAAGAUUCUUGGUGGAUGCCCAGAUAGGAUUGCUUGCUUUAUCAACUCCUUCAAAAACUCAUCUCAGAGUGACAGUAAAGAAAUGAAAUCAGACAAAAGCCACAAGAGAGAAGAGCUCAGAAGGAGGGCAGAAGCAGAUGCGAAGUUUCAAUAAAUGUGUGGACGGUCAAAAAACAAAGGAAGCAACAUAUGUUCAAAGUGAAGAAAGCAGUAGUUCAGGAUACAGGAAGUUUAGGGCUAAGCCUAAAGAACCCCAGACUCACCACAAGUUUAGGAAUAAGAAAGACACUGUGUGUGCCUUUAGGCUGUGCCCACUGAUAUGAGCGAGAACCCUCAAAUCUCAGUCUUAGCGUUUCAGGGUCACUCUUCAUGGACACUCCUGAUUGGGGGUUGGGACUCCUCUAAGCCCUGAGUCAAGGAUCCUGGCUGCUUCCAUCCUGGGCCUUGGCCAUCUUCAUAAUAUGGAUUCAACAUUAAACCAGACUCAGAACCGUCUAGGACACUCAGAACAAUUUGAUAAAAAUUUAUAUUCAAGAAACAUGAACAGGAUACUAUGAAAAAAGGAAGCCCCAGAGAAUGUGAAAGAGCAUUGGAAUUUAAAAGUAUGAUUGUUUAGGAUUUUUUUUAAGUGACAGUAAAAGAAAAAAGAGAAAGGAAAGCUCUUCUCUACUGAAAAGCUGUUAUUCUAAUAAAAGAAGAAAGGAUAAUAUUAGAAAAUUCCUAUUUUGUGACAUGUAAUGUAAUCAUUGAUUCAGGUCAAAGAUCAUCAGUGGAUGUUAGAAUCAUUUGUUGCCAGUUUUAUCAAGUAACCAAACAUUCAAACAGAACCAAUACAUCUUCCCACAGAUCAUUUAGUAAUUGAGAGGAGAAAAAUCCCCUACAGUGGAAAGGAUUGCAUUUACUUCCUUCAUAAAAUGACCAUACUUCACACCAUGAACAGGAAAACAGUCUGACAUUAUGGGUCUCCUGGUGUAAUUGAAUAUGAGGAACACAACCUCACCUAUGAAAUAUUAUUGCACAGAAAGUUCAGCUUUAAUCGGAACUCUAGUCCUGUGCUAUGCAAUAUGUUGGACACUGGACACAUGACUGUUGAGAACUUGAAUUGUGGCUAGUCCAAAUUAAGAUGUGCUAUAAGUGUCAAGUAUACACCAGAUUUGAUUUCAUAGAUAUAG
rnacentral:lncRNA from 1 species